AUGUCACCGUAUGUUAGUGGGAGGGGGGAGUGGAAGGACCUGGGGAUGUGGGAUCUGGGGGGGGGGGUUCAUAGUUCAGUGGUGCCUGGGGCAGAAGAGGGACGGGGGGGGCAAGUUCGGGAGCGAGUUCAGCUUCCUGACAGCCUGAUGUAUGAAGUUGUCCUUCAGUCAACUGGUCCUGGCCUGGAGACUCCGCAGUCUCCUCCCUGAUGGCAGCAGACUGAAGAAGCUGUGUGACGGGUGAGUGGGAUCACCUGCAAUGCAGAGGGCUUUGCGAGUGAGACGGGUUACAUAAAUGUCCUGGAGGGAGGGGAGAGAGACACCAAUGAUCUUCUCAGCUGCUCUCACUAUGCGUUGCAGAGUCUUCCGGCAGGACGCGUUGCAGGCGCCAUACCACACAGUGAUGCAGCUAGUCAGGAUGCUCUCGAUGGUGCCUCUGUAGAAGGUGUACAUGAUGGGGGGUGGGGCUCUGGCUCUCCUCAGUUUGCGGAGGAAGUAGAGACGCUGCUGUGAUUCCUUGGCCAGUGCUGCAGUGUUGUCGGUCCAGGAGAGGUCCUCUGUGAUGUGCACACCCAGGAACUUGGUGCUGCUCACUCUCUCCACAGUCGCACCGUUGAUGGUCAGAGGAACAUGCUGAGUGUGCGUUCUCCUGAAGUCAACAACUGUCACUGCACCACCAGGCCAGGCGGCUCACCUUGCUCCUGUAGUUUGUCUCAUCUCUGUUGCUAAUGAGACCCACCACAGUCGUGUCAUCCGCAAACUUAAUGAAGAGGUUGGAGUUGUGUGACGGUGUGCAGUCGUGGGUCAGCAGAGUGAAGAGGAGGGGGCUCAGCACAAAUCCUUGGGGGGCCCCAGUGUUCAGUGUGAUGGUGCUGGAUGUGUUGCUGCCGACACGUACUGCCUGAGGUCUUCCAGUCAGAAAGUCCAACAGCCAGUUGCACAGCGAAGUGUUGAGCCCCAGCUCGACCAGUUUGUGAAUGAGCUGUUGAGGGAUGAUUGUGUUGAAUGCUGAACUGAAGUCUAUGAACAGCAUUCUGACGUAUGAGUCUUUUUUCUCUAGAUGUGUGAGUGCUGAGUGGAGGGUAGUUGAGAUGGCAUCAUCGGUCGACUGGUUGGACCGAUAUGCAAACUGGAAUGGGUCCAGGGAGGGGGGAGGGCAGACUUGAUGUGGUGCAUGACUAGCCGUUCGAAGCACUUCAUGAGGAUGGGAGUAAGUGCAACAGGACGGUAGUCAUUGAAGCAGAAUGGAGAUGGCUUCUUUGGGACUGGAAUGAUGGUGGUAGCUUUGAAGCAUGUGGGAA
ensembl:lncRNA